AAGGUGUUUUCAGCUAAACGCAAACCAACAAGGUUCACAACAAUGCUUUUAAAGAUGAUGUUGUUAAUGGACAACAAGGUGUAUGAGGUGCUUCUAGAAUUGCAAUGGUUAUACAAACAAGGUUUAAAAGAUGCUUUCAUUGACCCAACAACAAGGUUUUAAAAGUGUUUUCAAUUACAGGAGGGCAAAUCAACAAGGUUUGAAUGGUGCUUUCAGGGACACAAUGGUAAUACCAGGUUUAAUUGAAAUGGUGUUUUUUCAAUAAUGGAGACAAUCAACAACAAGGUUUAAAAGGUGUUUUCUGUUACAAAAGUAUAAACCAACAAGGUUCACAAAGAUGCUUUCAAAGGUUCAACGGCACCAUAUUAAAACAGACAAGGUUCAUAAGGUUCUGUCAGGGACAUGGUGAUAAUACAAACAAGGUUUUAAAGGUGUUUUCAAUGACAAAAGGGCAAAUCAACAAGGUUUAAAUGGUCCCUUCAGAGGUUCAAUGGUCAUACAAGGUUUAAAUGGUGUUUUUAAUGAUAAAGGGGAAAAUCAACGACAAUCAACACAAAGGUGCAAGGUGACAGGUGUGUGUGUGUGCUUGAGCAUGAUCUCUUCCUGUUUUUAUGUUGAUAUGUUUGUUUGGGUCAGUGUUUCAAAUGUUGUGACUAUAACCUCUCUUGAAAACCCAGUAGGUGACGCUGCAGCUUGGUAUUUUGUGUGUACUUGGUUGUUUGCAUUGAAGCAGGUGUCCUCCAGGAUCUGGAUGUCAGAGUGUAUUGGCUCUAAAGUGACACUGCAGCAUUUUCUGUCUGCAGAAAGAUUUAUGUUUUACUGUACAGAUAUGUGUUUCUGUCUCUAUCAUACUUGUUUUCUGUUUCUGUAAAGACCUAGUUUUAUGUGGUUUUUUUCCAGGAACAGGUUCUGAUCUCUUCUAGAAAUGGACCCAGCUGGAGAUGAGCAUCAAACUCGAUUUUAAACCCAAAAAACAAGGUUCAAAGGUGGUUUAAAAAACUUGAUCUCAAACAAAAAACAACGUUCAAAAGGUGCUUUCAAAAACUUAAUCUCAAAAAGGUUCAAAAGGUGCUUUCAAAAACCUGUUCUCAGACGAAUAACAAGGUUCAAAAGGUGCUUUCAAAAACUUAAUCUCAAACAAGGUUCAAAAGGUGGUUUAAAAAACUUAAUCUCAAACAAAAAACAAGGUUCAAAAGUUGCUCUCAAAAACUUGGUCUCAGACAAGUUUGAAAAGGUUCAAAAGGUGUUUGUAUUGGAAUCUUUGAAGUGUGCUUGUCAUAAUCUGUAUUUGUUGUACCUUUUUUGUGUAUUUUAUUUUCUAUUUCAUCGUGAAUCUUUGAAUCUCUGUGUUUGAAUCUUUGAACUUUGCUUGUUAUAAUCUGUAUUUGUUAUACCUUUUUUUUGGUUUGUGUGUUUUCUUUUUGUAUUUGUUUUGGUUUUUUUGUUUGUGUUUUUUUAAUUAUUUUUUUUUAUUUUGUAUACAUUUUUUGUAAACCUUUUCAAAUCUGUCCUUGAACUAUGCUUGUUAUGAUCUGUAUAUGUUGUACCUUUUUUGGGUUGUUUUGUGUUUGUUUUUUUUGUUUGUUUUUUUUUUGUCUUAUUUAUUUUGUAUAAAUGUUUUGUAAACAUUUUUGAAUCCAUCCCUGAACUAUGCUUGUUAUGAUCUGUACGCGUUGUACCUUCUUUUUGGUUUGUUUGUUUUCUUUUUGUAUUUGUUUGUUUUUUUGUUGUUUGUGUUAUUUUAUUUUAUUUUUAAUUUUGUAUAAAUGUUUUGUGAACCUUUUUGAAUCUGUCCUUGAACUAUGCUUGUUAUGAUCUGUAUAUGUUGUAUCUUUUUUUGGGUUUGUUUGUUUGUUUGUGUUUUAUUUUUGUUUGUUUUUGUUUGUUUGUUUGUGUGUGAUUUUAUUUUAUUUUUAAUUUUGUAUAAAUUUUUUUAACCUUUUCAAAUCUGUCCUUGAACUAUGCUUGUAAUGAUCUGUAUAUGUUGUACCUUUUUUGGGGUUUGUUUGUUUAAGUGUUUUCUUUUUGUAUUUGUUUGUUUUUUUGUUGUUUGUGUUAUUUUCUUUUUCUUUUUAAUUUUGUAAACCUUUUCAAAUCUGUCCUUGAACUAUGCUUGUUAUGAUCUGUAUAUGUUGUACCUUUUUUGGGGUUUGUUUGUGUGUUUUUUUGUUUUUUUGUCUGUUUUUUAUUUUAUUUUUUUUUUUAAAUUUGUAUAAAUGUUUUGUAAACCUUUUUGAAUCUGUCCUUGAACUAUGCUUGUUAUGAUCUGUAUGUGUUGUACCUUUUUUGGGUUUGUUUGUUUGUGUGUUUUCUUUUUGUUUGUUUUUGGUUUUUUUUGUUGUUUGUGUUAUUUUAUUUUAUUUUUAAUUUUGUAUAAUUUUUUUUAACCUUUUCAAAUCUGUCCUUGAACUAUGCUUGUUAUGAUCUGUAUGUGUUGUACCUUUUUGGGGGUUUGUUUGUUUUUCUUUUUGUAUUUGUUUGUUUGUUUGUUGUUUGUGUUAUUUUUUUUCUUUUCUUUUUAAAUUUUUUUGAAUCUGUCCUUGAACUAUGCUUGUUAUGAUCUGUAUAUGUUGAACCUUUUUUGGGUUUGUUUGUUUGUUUGUGUAUUUUCUUUUUGUUUGUUUUUGUUUUUUUGUUGUUUGUGUUAUUUUAUUUUUAAAUUUUGUAUUAAUUUUUUGUAAACCUUUUUGAAUCUGUCCUUGAACUAUGUUUGUUAUGAUCUGUAUGUGUUGUACCUGACCAUGAGGGGACCACCGUUUUCCUGGAGGAACUGUUGCUACAGGAAGUGCUGCCUUCCUGUGCUCUCUGAGAAAUCCAAGGAUUGUCAUUGUGUUGAAGGUAAGAUGAAGUGGGGAAAUGGUAGGAUGUACUUUUCGUCGUGCUAAUGCGAUGUUUUUACCAAAGUAAACAAAUGAAAGCAUGUAAGAAACUAGGUCCUGCAUUCUGAUAACUUCAUGCAUAUCUGGUUUCAAACAGAUUUCACUGUUUUUAAGUCGAGCAUUUUCUGCAUACCUCCACAAGUGUAUGUGUUUCUCUGCUUUUCCCCAAACAUCACAGAAGUGUGCAGCUUCGGCGUUGAACCUGGCAACCACUGCUGUCUUCAGGAAGGAUCCCAAUCACCUCAAAGAGCUGCUCCCCCAUUCUUAGAUCAACUUUCCUCUGUUUAAGAUGUGCUUCAACUGUUCUCUCAAAGUUUAAUCCCACCUAAGCAUGAUCUCUUCCUGUUUUUAUGUUGGUGUUAUGUUUGUUUGGGUUGGUGGUUCAAAUGUUGUGACUAUAACCUCUCUUGAAAACCCAGCUGGUGAUAUUGCAGCUUGGUAUUUUGUGUGUACUUGGGUGUUUGCAUUGAAGCAGGUGUCCUCCAGGAUGUGGAUGUCAGAGUGUAUUGGCUCUAAAGUGACACUGCAGCCUUUUCUGUCUGCAGAAAGAUAUUUGUUUAACUGUACAGAUAUGUGUUUCUAUCUCUAACAAUCAUACUUGUUUUCUGUUUCUGUAAAGACCUGUAAAGGUUUUAUGUUAUUUUUCAGGAACAGGUCUUGGAUUGAAACAACAAUCAAACCAACAAGGUUCACAACAAUGCUUUUAGAGACGAUGUUGUUAAUGGACACCAAGGUGUAUGAGGUGCUUCCAGAAAUGCAAUGGUUAUACAAUGGUUUAAAAGAUGCUUUCAUUGACCCAACAACAAGGUUUUAAAAGUGUUUUCAAUUACAGGAGGGCAAAUCAACAUGGUUUGAAUGGUGCUUUCAGGGACACAAUGGUAAUACCAGGUUUAAUUGAAAUGGUGUUUUCAAUGAUGGAG
rnacentral:lncRNA from 1 species